UACGUAGGGUGCGAGCGUUGUCCGGAAUUAUUGGGCGUAAAGGGCUCGUAGGCGGUUUGUCGCGUCGGGAGUGAAAUCAUCUGGCUUAACUGGGUGCUUGCUUUCGAUACGGGCAGACUAGAGGUAUGCAGGGGAGAACGGAAUUCCUGGUGUAGCGGUGAAAUGCGCAGAUAUCAGGAGGAACACCGGUGGCGAAGGCGGUUCUCUGGGCCGAUACUGACGCUGAGGAGCGAAAGCGUGGGGAGCGAGCAGG
rnacentral:rRNA from 1 species